GCUCCCGUCGUCUAGUCCGGUCAAGGAUCGUGGCUUCUCGAGCCACUGACACGGGUUCAAAUCCCGUCGGGAGCA
rnacentral:tRNA from 1 species